rnacentral:rRNA from 1 species
CCUACGGGAGGCAGCAGUGGGGAAUAUUGCACAAUGGGGGAAACCCUGAUGCAGCGACGCCGCGUGAGUGAAGAAGUAUCUCGGUACGUAAAGCUCUAUCAGCAGGGAAGAAAAUGAUGGUACCCGACCAAGAAGCCCCGGCUAACUACGUGCCAGCAGCCGCGGUAAUACGGAGGGGGCAAGCGUUAUCCGGAUUUACCGGGUGUAAAGGGAGCGUAGACGGCAGGACAAGUCUGGAGUGAAAUCCCGGGGCUUAACCCCGGAACGGCUUUGGAAACGGUGCGGCUGGAGUGGAGGAGGGGUAAGCGGAAUUCCGAGGGUAGCGGGGAAAUGUGUAGAUAUUAGGAGGAACACGGGUGGGGAGGGCGGCUGACUGGACUGUAACGAACGUGGAGGCUCGAAAGCGUGGUGAGCAACCAGGAUUAGAUACCCUUGUAGCC